rnacentral:rRNA from 1 species
UACGUGAGGGGCGAACGUUGUUCGGUGUCACUGGGCUUAAAGGGCGCGUAGGCGGUCUUGUAAGUCUUGUGUGAAAUCCCUCGGCUUAACUGAGGAACUGCACGAGAUACUGCGAGACUUGAGAUCGGGAGAGGGAAGCGGAAUUCCGGGUGUAGCGGUGAAAUGCGUAGAUAUCCGGAGGAACACCGGUGGCGAAGGCGGCUUCCUGGACCGACACUGACGCUGAGGCGCGAAAGCUAGGGGAGCAAACGGG